rnacentral:rRNA from 1 species
GACGUAGGGCGCAAGCGUUGUCCGGAUUUAUUGGGCGUAAAGAGCUCGUAGGCGGCUUAGUAAGUCGGGUGUGAAAACCCCAGGCUCAACCUGGGGACGCCACCCGAUACUGCUAUAGCUAGAGUCCAGUAGGGGAGUGUGGAAUUCCCAGUGUAGCGGUGAAAUGCGCAGAUAUUGGGAGGAACACCAGCGGCGAAGGCGGCACUCUGGGCUGGUACUGACGCUGAGGAGCGAAAGCGUGGGGAGCAAACAGG